AUCUUGAUAGUUUAAUAGUAAAAUAUUAUAUUGUGGUUAUAAAGAUAUAGUUAUUCAAGGUA
rnacentral:tRNA from 1 species